rnacentral:rRNA from 1 species
AAUGGAGGAAACUCUGAUGCAGCGACGCCGCGUGAGGGAAGAAGGUUUUCGGAUUGUAAACCUCUGUCUUCGGGGACGAUAAUGACGGUACCCGAGGAGGAAGCUACGGCUAACUACGUGCCAGCAGCCGCGGUAAUACGUAGGUGGCAAGCGUUGUCCGGAAUUACUGGGUGUAAAGGGAGCGUAGGCGGUUUGGUAAGUUGGGCGUUUAAUCUACGGGCUCAACCCGUAUAAGCGUUCAAAACUACCAAACUUGAGUGAAGUAGAGGCAGGCGGAAUUCCCGGUGUAGCGGUGGAAUGCGUAGAUAUCGGGAGGAACACCAGUGGCGAAGGCGGCCUGCUGGGCUUUUACUGACGCUGAGGCUCGAAAGCAUGGGGAGCAAA